rnacentral:rRNA from 1 species
UACGUAGGGUGCAAGCGUUAAUCGGAAUUACUGGGCGUAAAGCGCACGUAGGUGGUUUGUUAAGUCAGCUGUGAAAUCCCCGGGCUCAACCUGGGCACUGCAGUUGAAACUGGCAAGCUAGAGUAGGGUAGAGGGGUGUGGAAUUCCAGGUGUAGCGGUGAAAUGCGUAGAGAUGUGGAGGAACACCGAUGGCGAAGGCAGCCCCCUGGGUUAACACUGACGCUCAGGCACGAAAGCGUGGGGAGCAAACAGG